CCUACGGGUGGCAGCAGUGAGGAAUAUUGGUCAAUGGACGAGAGUCUGAACCAGCCAAGUGGCGUGAAGGAUGACUGCCCUAUGGGUUGUAAACUUCUUUUAUAUGGGAAUAAAACGUUCCACGUGUGGGAUUUUGUAUGUACCAUAUGAAUAAGGAUCGGCUAACUCCGUGCCAGCAGCCGCGGUAAUACGGAGGAUCCGAGCGUUAUCCGGAUUUAUUGGGUUUAAAGGGAGCGUAGGUGGAUUGUUAAGUCAGUUGUGAAAGUUUGCGGCUCAACCGUAAAAUUGCAGUUGAAACUGGCAGUCUUGAGUACAGUAGAGGUGGGCGGAAUUCGUGGUGUAGCGGUGAAAUGCUUAGAUAUCACGAAGAACUCCGAUUGCGAAGGCAGUUCACUGGACUGCAACUGACACUGAGGCUCGAAAGUGUGGGUAUCAAACAGGAUUAGAUACCCCAGUAGUC
rnacentral:rRNA from 1 species